UAUGUCUGGAGCAAGCAAAAUCCAUUUAUCCACAUGAGUUUCUUGGGCCUCUUUACUUUUACAGCAGCUUACCUACCAUGGGUUCUUUUGGGAUUCUCUGUCCUUGUUGGUGCUAGUGCUUGGGUGGAUCUACUGGGAAUGAUAGCUGGCCAUGCUUACUAUUUUCUUGAGGAUGUAUAUCCACGAAUGACCGGUCGUCGGCCCCUACAAACCCCAUCAUUUAUUAAAUCACUAUUUGCUGAUGAGGCAGUUGUAGUGGCCCGGCCUGCAA
rnacentral:misc_RNA from 1 species